UUUCAGCCUCUCAGACUCUUAUUUAUUUCUAUUCUUCUGGGAAAAAAAACCAUCUCUCUCUCUCUCUCUCUCUCUUGUCUUACUACUCCAUAUUCACCAUGAUCAAUUAAGCUGGAUAGUCUGAAUCAUAAGGAAUAGAUCCCAGAUCCCCCUAUUAGAUUCAACCCUGGUCUAUCAAUUUAACCUACCUCCUAUUUUUGAAUUAGGGAUUGUGAUUUCUUAGGCGAUUGUGGUUUUUCUUUGCAGCAAGGGAUUAAAGAGAUUUCAGACUGUGUUCAUGGAGAGCUAGGUUGCUAAUCACCUUGGAUGAAAGAAGCCAUCGACCAUUAAAACUCGUUCGUCAUGCUUCAACCCGAGACCAUGGAGAAGCUCCAGCGAUAACACAAUCAGCACUGAGUAGGAGGCUGAAACCAUGCUAGUGAUUGAACCAAGAAGAUCAUCAUUGAGAUCCUGGUAUCGGUGAGUUUUGUUCCUUGUUUGUUUCUUCAACACUAACUUGAACUAUGGACCUAGACACUCAAAAGAUUCAAGAUUUAAACAUGGAUGGCCUCUGUUUUCAUAUUUCGGCCAAGUCAAUUGCAGACUGAAGUUGCUCUCUUUGCUUCCUCACGUACUCACCAACUUGAUUUUAGCCAUCCAUCCCCAGAAAGAUGAAAUAAGAUGAAUAAUAUCAAGAAUCUGAUCAAUUCCAAUUUUGGAACUACAAAGAAGCAAUAUGACUCGAUACUGGACCAUGAAUAGAAGCAAUUGUUGAUCGGAAAAAAAAAAAAAAAAAAAAAAAAAAAAAAAAAAAAAGCAAAAUAGAAGCAAUUGAAACUCUGAUUCCUAUCCCAUUGGUCAUACCAUGUCAGAAUUGCAAAGAAGCCACACACAACAAAACUGAGACAAUUUAGGAAGAGAGAGCAACCCCUCUACAGCGCAUUGACCCAAAAGAAAGUGGCUGCAACGUGGCAAUGGGUAAUAGACAAGCACAUGUGUUGCCUUUGGCCCAAAUAUGUCACCAAUAAUGUAUGUGGCCAUUGCCAAUAAUUGUAGUAGUGUGGGAAUGGUUUUGAACUGUUUGAUGUCUGGGACUUCUUUUAAAUUGGGAUUGGGAGUGAUUUGCAACUGUUUUAUGUAUAUGUUUUCGUUUAAAUCGGGAUUGAGGGUGGAUUUUGAAUAUUUUUGGGUUAUGGUCUUUGAAUGUUCUAAUUUGGGAUUUUGAGA